UUUGCUUAAUAGAUUAAAUAUGCCGCUUAAUUGUAGCUACUGUAACUGCUGUUCCUGAAGAAAAACCACUUCAUGCAGUCACGGAGUGUUGAGGGGCCGAGGGCUUCCUGAGCGACGCUCCAGCCAGUAGGAAAUCAUCAGGGAAUGGUAAAGUCCCCUGCAGUAUGACCCAGGAGGCACAGAGAGACCUUGAGGAGCAGGAGAGCUCUCAUGAUGGGGA